CUUCUAAGAAGAAAAAUAUCUUACUGAAAAUAUGAAAAGAAGCCUGAUACGUUAAUAUGAGGGAAAAUAACCAAUAAGCUAACAAAUUUCGCAAGCUUUGUUUAGUAGCAUCUGGGACAAUAAAAACAGGUCUCAGUUCUUGUGUCAUAAUUGGAUAAGAAACGAGUGGUGCGGUUGGACCAGAUAUUGAUAGUGGUAAGUUUGUUGGUUGCUGAGCGUUCGGUGCUUGUUGGUUGGUAGGCUGAGGACCCGAACCACUCAUACUAAUAGUUUGUUGAGCCAUCGUGACAAUCGGUGGAGGAAUAGACACCGGUGCCAUGGAAACAGCAGCGAUUGAUACAGGAGUUACUGUUGCUAUGCUCACAGGAACAGUUGCAACGCUAGCUGUAACAGUUCGCAGUGUUCCAGCUGCUACAGCAGCAUUAACCAUCUGUUGAGGUGUUGGAGCUUGAGAUGGAGCAAUGCAUUUUCAUCUUCGAGAUUAAAAGCUCUAGCUUCAUUUCUGGGGAUUACAGGAUAGUAAUAGCUAGAAGUUACAGGCUGGGUUGGAUGCUGUCCUACCAGAGGUGACGUUUCGAAAUGCAAGAUAGUUUCU